UGGAACUGAGGUGCUUCGUCAGGAGCUCCUUCAGUUGUUGGAGGAUGGAGAAGAGGACGCAGCCAUGACUUGUGAGACGUCGUCUGAGUCAGCUGCUACUCACUGGGCGAUCAGAAAUAUGGUGUCCUCGCAAAAGUGGAAAGAGGCCAGGCCUUGUCUUAUAGACAAUAUGUUAGCUACUCUGGAUCCACAGUCACACCGUGUGUGUCAGUGUGGCAAACAAGUAGUUGUGAGGUGUCUGGACUGCCUGCCUCUUCCAUUCCUUUGUGCUGACUGUGAUAUUGCAGUUCACACACGCUUUGUCCUGCACAACAGAGAGGCAGUAACAGGAGGGUUUUUGCAGCCUUCAUCAGAGUUUCACAAGCCAAUUGUUCGGCUGUUGCCUGUCCAAAGGCCAGACCAUGUGUGUGACUGCCCAGCAGGUAACGUUGAGGUUUCACCCGGCUCAAUUGUGGCUCUUGUAACCAUAAAUGGCCGUUAUAACCUUGCACUGCCAGUGGUGAGAUGCACCAGCUGUGGCCU